ACUUUCUAAUCAACUAAACUUUAAUUAAAUGAUUCUAAUGCCUAUAACUAAGUAUGAAUCACCAUAACAUGAAUUAAAACUUUACCUGAGCAUCGUGUGUAACAUACCAGAUUUUGGUAUAAAAAUAAAAAUAAAUAAAAAUAGUGUGAGAAACUAUUUUUAUUGGGUUUAUAGAAGUAAAACAUAAGUCAGAAGUGACUUGUGCUGAAAUCGGAAUGAAAACAGAAGAUCUAGAAUUUUCUGUUGGAAACGAGACAGAGAAAUUAGCAGAAAAUGCACAGUCUCAGAAAAUUAUGAAAAUUGGAGGAUAAGUCAGAAAUAUUUUUAAGAGGCUAGAUUUAAAGUUUCAUAUUUUUCUGACACCCGUAGAGUGAGAAAUAAAAUCUAACAGUUAUCUGAUAAAGAUUACAGUUCGGUACAGUUUUCGGUGACCAAAUGAGGUCGAAACUGAAAACUUAAAAUAUAUUCUUGCUCAGUACGUAAAACCGAACAUGACUGUCAAGUUUGAGCUCAAACGGACGUUUAGGAAACUCCGGCGAAAGUUAUCAGAUUUUAAGUUGCCUGGAGUGAAUAGUGUUGGGUGUUAAUGUAUAAAGAAGCUUUGCUUCUUCUUCUUCCUCCCAGCCGCACACACACAC
rnacentral:lncRNA from 1 species